rnacentral:lncRNA from 1 species
UAAACUGGUCCGCCGUUCUAUCUAUAGCUUCGCACCGAAGGAACGGGUUGGAGCUAUUGUCACAUUGGCAUUAAUUGGACGAGUCUUACAAAUUCAACGAUUCGCUAAUAAAAUUGGCCAAUUAAAGUGAUAGGAAAUUGACCUUAAAUGUUGAUACUGCGAUGCCGCAAAAUAAACAAGUAUCUGUUAAUUAACCCCAUGGUAGUAGCGCAGAUAAAUGACCAACGAGCGUGUUAACAUGUUCUUGACAAACUGAGCCUGU